GACAGAGGCCUCAAGCGUUAGGCGGAAUCACUGGGCUUAAAGCGUGUGUAGGCGGAUCGUUAAGUGUCUUGUGAAAUCCCACGGCUCACCCGUGGAACUGCUGGGCAUAUGGCGAUCUUGGGCCAACUAGGGGCAACUGGAACAAGCGGUGGAGCGGUGAAAUGCGUAGAUAUCGCUUGGAACGCCAAAGGUGAAAACAGGUUGC
rnacentral:rRNA from 1 species